ACACGUAGGGGGCGAGCGUUGUUCGGAAUUACUGGGCGUAAAGGGCAUGUAGGCGGUUUUGUAAGCCUGACGUGAAAGGCUAUGGCUUAACCAUGGCACUGCGUUGGGAACUGCGAGACUUGAAUCAUGGAGGGGGAGCUGGAAUUCCAGGUGUAGGGGUGAAAUCUGUAGAUAUCUGGAAGAACACCAGUGGCGAAGGCGAGCUCCUGGCCAAUGAUUGACGCUGAGGUGCGAAAGUGUGGGGAUCAAACAGGAUUAGAGACCCUGGUAGUCCACACUGUCAACGAUGUGCACUAGGUGCUGGGGCGGACGCUUCAGUGCCGGAGCUAACGCGGUAAGUGCACCGCCUGGGGAGUAUGCUCGCAAGGGUGAA
rnacentral:rRNA from 1 species